rnacentral:rRNA from 1 species
UACGUAGGGUGCGAGCGUUGUCCGGAAUUAUUGGGCGUAAAGAGCUUGUAGGCGGUCUGUCGCGUCUGCUGUGAAAAUCCGGGGCUCAACCCCGGACCUGCAGUGGGUACGGGCAGACUAGAGUGUGGUAGGGGAGACUGGAAUCCCUGGUGUAGCGGUGAAAUGCGCAGAUAUCAGGAGGAACACCGAUGGCGAAGGCAGGUCUCUGGGCCAUAACUGACGCUGAGAAGCGAAAGCAUGGGGAGCGAACAGG